UACGGGGGGGGCAAGCGUUGUUCGGAAUUACUGGGCGUAAAGGGUCUGUAGGUGGCCAACUAAGUCAUCCGUGAAAUCCCUCAGCUUAACUGGGGAACUGCGUGUGAUACUGGUCGGCUUGAGUGCAGGAGAGGAACGCGGAAUUCCAGGUGUAGCGGUGAAAUGCGUAGAUAUCUGGAGGAACACCGGUGGCGAAGGCGGCGUUCUGGACUGUAACUGACACUGAGAGAUGAAAGCCAGGGGAGCAAACGGG
rnacentral:rRNA from 1 species